CUCGCCCUUUGGCCUCCAGUUCCAGGCUAGACUGCAGAGAUUCGAUGGCACGCUGGUGGUUCUUCCUACAAAGGUGUCCAAAAAAUUAUGCUAUUGCUUUUUAUGGCACCCAGUUUCACCUACAGCACCAUGAAGAGGGUUUCUUCAGAAUGAUGGGAUCUGUGGCCAAACCCAUGUGGAGAGCACCAACUUGUGUGAUCUUUGUAUUCUGUGUUUCCCAACCUCCAGAAUUAGGAUGCAAUGUAAGCAGAUGCGCCCAUCGUUCCUAGGCCUUGCCUUUGAUUCUUCAUCCAGCUGCCGCUUGAAG